CUUCUUUUUAUUCAAAUAGAACUUCACCAGUUUCUUCCUUCCUGUUCUCUAUCUACCUACUUGUGAGUGGGACGAAGAACAAUUCGCAUCGCAGUACUUGUUUGUGCUCUAUCUCCUUAUACGUGAUAUAUUAUCUAGUUAUGUUUAUACUCUUGAUUAUGAUUAUAGAUUCGUACACAUAUAUUACGAACACAUCUGCAAUGUACAUGUCUUUUUUUCAUUGAAUUAUUAAGCAGAAAUUGAUGGUUUCAAUUUUUUGAUUACACGACUGUAAACCUACACGUCAAAAAAGGUGUUUGGAGUCAGCGAUCUCAGUGAGAGCAGUCUUUCUAUACUUGAGAUAGAAGAAAAGUUUGUCCUCAACUCACCUCUCUGUACCAUACCAAUAGCUUUGUUAGGCGUGGAACUUUUCUAGGUAUGCAUGUUUGUUCGUUUGCUUGUUUGGUUGAGGAUUUCAAGCUAAAUAACACAAAAUUUAUGGAUAUUCAGUGCGUAUACAUGCCAAGAUGGAAUUAGAUAUAACACCGAUUUAAAGUUCUUCAAGGUAUAAGCACUAUUACAAGCUAACAAUGUCGGAGGAGAAACUCAAAUCGCCUAACACGAUUUUAAGGGACACAAUCAUCAAUGUCUUUUAUUUCCAUGUACAUAUUUGUAGUAAUUGAUGAUCAAUAUUGUAGUUUGAAAUGAUCUGUCUUUCAGAUGAUGCAUAUUCUUGGUUACCACGCA